CUUGAACUCCUGAUCCGACUGCCUUUC
rnacentral:piRNA from 1 species